rnacentral:rRNA from 1 species
UGGGGAAUUUUGGACAAUGGGCGAAAGCCUGAUCCAGCAAUGCCGCGUGUGUGAAGAAGGCCUUCGGGUUGUAAAGCACUUUUGUCCGGAAAGAAAUCCUUGGCCCUAAUACAGUCGGGGGAUGACGGUACCGGAAGAAUAAGCACCGGCUAACUACGUGCCAGCAGCCGCGGUAAUACGUAGGGUGCAAGCGUUAAUCGGAAUUACUGGGCGUAAAGCGUGCGCAGGCGGUUUGCUAAGACCGAUGUGAAAUCCCCGGGCUCAACCUGGGAACUGCAUUGGUGACUGGCAGGCUAGAGUAUGGCAGAGGGGGGUAGAAUUCCACGUGUAGCAGUGAAAUGCGUAGAGAUGUGGAGGAAUACCGAUGGCGAAGGCAGCCCCCUGGGCCAAUACUGACGCUCAUGCACGAAAGCGUGGGGAGCAAACAGGAUUAGAUACCCUGGUAGUCCACGCCCUAAACGAUGUCAACUAGUUGUCGGGGAUUCAUUUCCUUAGUAACGUAGCUAACGCGUGAAGUUGACCGCCUGGGGGAGUACGGUCGCAAGAUUAAAACUUAAAGGAAUUGACGGGGUCAUAGCUGUUUCCU